CGUGUUUUAUUAACUGUUUAAUAUCUGUGAAAGUGCACAAAUGUGGGAAAAUGAAACAAAGACGCUGGACGUAACUUCGCGGGAUCCUCAAAAAAGUCCACUUAUAAAAUCUCAGUAAAUGUCCACCAUCUUACUGAGAUUAGAUUUCAUCCCAUAUCAUAUCAUCUCAUCUUAUUUCAUUUCAUUUUAUUUCACUCCAUAUUAUCAUUUUUCAUAAAAAUAUUAUAAAUUAAAAUAAGACAUGACUUAAAGGUCUUAGUUACCAUGUCAUAAAAUCUCAACCUAUUUUAGUAGUAGGUAAUUGUAAACCAAAUUAAAUAGAAAACAAACAAGUGACGCUUAAAAAUAAUUCUCAUUUUCAUCCUUUUCAGUACCAUGAAGAAAUACGGAUCCCGCAAUGCUUUAUAUGAUAAGCUGCACAAGGGUGGUGUAUUAGUUUGCAUCGGAUUGACAUUGUAUGGGACUGUUCUACUCACUGAUCACUUUUACAAGUACUUCAAGUAUGUGCGGCCACAGAUACAAGCAUCCAAAGCAGCUGCUGAACAAGAGCUUUUGUCAGAAGGUUCUUCAGAGAAAAUUAUGUAAAGGAGGAUUUAUGUAAUAUUUUAAUGUUUGUUUUAAUAGUGAAAAUGUAAAUAUAGUUUUAUCUUUAAUGUAAUUAAAUCAGUGGAUAUUUUUAAAAUA